UGUACAGAGGUAAUACUGAAACGACAAAAAGCAGUGAACUGCUGCCACAAUGAGGAAUGAUUUUAUUUAUUGGGAUGCCAUUAAUGAACAAUUUUUAGUAAUUAAACAUUAUACCAGUAUUUUCUAUAAUACAAACAAGUUUUAGCUUUAUGCCACAAUUGACAUGCCAGACUCUGAACAAUGGACUGUCUGAUACUGUAAAGCUACCAAAUGGUUGCACACCCCAACUGGAUCUGACACAGAAAGUCAUCUGAAAUACAUACAAAUAAAAAAUGUAGGUUAUAUAAAAUGCUACUUUGCACACAAGGUACAUAUAUCUCAUAAUUUAAAACAGGUACAGUGUAAUAAAUUUGCUGAUUAUAACAGUUUUGUAAAACGACAAAUAUUCAUGGGACAGGAUGAAUGAUUAGUUUUUAUGCAUCUGUCUGUGAUAAUUUUUGUAAUAUUACGUAAAUGAAAGAAGGCAGUCCUAGAGGUCUGCUUCAUGUGGGGAUUAAAUGACAAAUCCUGAUCAAAGAUAACUCCAAGAUUCCUGACAGUGGUGCUAGAGGCCAAGGUAAUGCCAUCUAGAGUAACUAUAUCUUUAGACAGUGAGUCUCUAAGGUUUUUGGGGCCAAAAACCUUAGAGACUCACUGUCUAAAGAUAUAGUUACUCUAGAUGGCAUUACCUUGGCCUCUAGCACCACUGUCAGGAAUCUUUGAUCAGGACAUGUCAUUUAAUUCCCACAUAAAGUAAACCUCUAGGACUGCCUUCUUUCAUUUACGUAAUAUUACAAAAAUUAGACACAUACUAUCACAGACUAAAAAAAAAUUAGAAAAACUAAUCCAUGCAUUUGUUACUUCUAGGCUGGAUUACUGCAACUCUUUAUUAUCAGGCUGCCCCAAUAAGUCCAUUAAGACACUACAAUUAAUUCAGAGCGCUGCAGCACGAGUACUGACGGGAACUAGGAAAAGAGAUCAUAUCUGGUACUGUUGGGUGACUGUAAAUAAUGUUAUAAGGAGUUCGGUCUAGUUGAAAAAGUAGUAAUAGUUGUUCUAUUUGAAAAGUGUUUUGAGAUAACUUCUGUUAUGAAUUGACGCUAUACAAAUACAAUUA